CCACACUUCAUAAAGACAUUAAAGCGAAACAGAUUAUGAGUUUUCAAACAUCUUGCCAAAAUCAGGGCACAGGCAAAUCCUCCUUGUCUUCAAAUAAUCCAUCAAGCCAUGGAGCGGGAGGCAAAAUAUCUUUAAUACGAUUUUCUAACUAUGACUAACUAAUUUGCAUAUUCUUCUGUGAGGGAUAAAACCGAAAUGAGUUGAUUGGAAUGCGUUUGGUACUUUAGAUCAUUGCUCCUUAAAAAGGCUGACAAGUCUUCCCAUGUUAAAAUCUGGGAUCAAAAACCUUUUGAAGAAUUAAAGUAUUUGCUAAAAUCCCCUCAACUGUCAUGUGCUACCAAAAAAGAAAAAAAGAACUAACAUUUGUUUGGGAAAGAGACUUGUCUAAGAUGGGACAUUUUAAGAACCAGGCAUCUAUUAAAUUGCUGAAAUGUUUUAUCUUUUCUAUAAUUUCAGAGAUGCAGGGGAGUCCCCAGGGGGGACCCUGUUUCAUCCGUGGAAAAUGCAAGUGGGGCCGCUACAAGUCCCCGGCGACUGAACGCCCACACCAGCUGCAGAAUCGACGAGGCCGUCCCUUCCUGGAGAUGCAGAUCACGGAGGUGGCUCCCCUCCCAUCCUGUCAGCUCCUGAGCUGGAUGAAGGACACCCAGACAGGUGCGGGCGGCCCGGCCAGACAGCACUGCGUGGAUUUCGGGACGGCGGAGGAUCGAGGGACUCAGAUGCGGCGAGCAGUGAGGCCGUCAGGCAAGACGGACAGCCUUGCGCCAGUUAAGGAUUCAACGGUGUUCGUACGAUGGAUGUCCCCCCCUCCAGCUCCGAUAAGCACCCCGGGGGCAGCACAGGGCCGUCCGUAA
rnacentral:lncRNA from 1 species